AUGUAGGGCAAUCUGUCUUUAAGUAGGGAUAAAUUACUCUAAAAAAAAAAAAUGAAUCCUAGAUAGUUUUCCCUUUAAGUCAAGCGUCUUGU
rnacentral:pre_miRNA from 1 species